UACGGGGGGAGCAAGCGUUGUUCGGAUUUACUAGGCGUAAAGGGCGCGUAGGCGGUCAGCACAAGUCAGUUGUGAAAUCUCCGGGCUUAACUCGGAAAGGUCAACUGAUACUGUGCGACUAGAGUGCAGAAGGGGCAACUGGAAUUCUCGGUGUAGCGGUGAAAUGCGUAGAUAUCGAGAGGAACACCUGCGGCGAAGGCGGGUUGCUGGGCUGACACUGACGCUGAUGCGCGAAAGCCAGGGGAGCGAACGGG
rnacentral:rRNA from 1 species